CAUGGUUGUCGUCAGCUCGUGUCGUGAGAUGUUGGGUUAAGUCCCGCAACGAGCGCAACCCUCGUUCUAUGUUGCCAGCACGUAAUGGUGGGAACUCAUGGGAUACUGCCGGGGUCAACUCGGAGGAAGGUGGGGAUGACGUCAAAUCAUCAUGCCCCUUAUGUCUUGGGCUUCACGCAUGCUACAAUGGCCGGUACAAAGGGCUGCAAUACCGCGAGGUGGAGCGAAUCCCAAAAAGCCGGUCCCAGUUCGGAUUGAGGUCUGCAACUCGACCUCAUGAAGUCGGAGUCGCUAGUAAUCGCAGAUCA
rnacentral:rRNA from 1 species